AUUGAACGCUGGCGGCAUGCUUUACACAUGCAAGUCGAACGGCAGCGCGGGGGCAACCCUGGCGGCGAGUGGCGAACGGGUGAGUAAUGCAUCGGAACGUAUCCUGUAAUGGGGGAUAACGUAGCGAAAGUUACGCUAAUACCGCAUACGCUCGAGAGAGGAAAGUGGGGGAUCGCAAGACCUCACGUUAUAGGAGCGGCCGAUGUCCGAUUAGCUAGUUGGUGGGGUAAAGGCCUACCAAGGCGACGAUCGGUAGCUGGUCUGAGAGGAUGAUCAGCCACACUGGGACUGAGACACGGCCCAGACUCCUACGGGAGGCAGCAGUGGGGAAUUUUGGACAAUGGGCGAAAGCCUGAUCCAGCCAUGCCGCGUGCGGGAAGAAGGCCUUC
rnacentral:rRNA from 1 species